GGCCUUUGCACAAAAGAGAAGAGUUCGACCUCGAUUAAACGACGACGAGCUAAUAUUUCGAUAAAGUUCGAAAUAAUACACUUUAAUGCCUGGGGCCUACGCAAAAAAGAGAAGAGUUCGACCUCGAUAGAACGAUGACGGGUUACUAUUUUGAUAAGUUCGAAAUAACACACUUUUAGGCCAAGGGACUUCGCCAUAAAGAGAAGAGUUUGACUUCGAACGAACGACGACGGGAUACUAUUUCGAUAAAUUUUGAAAUAACACACUUUAAGGCCAAGGGCCUUCUCCGAAAAGAGAAGAGUUUGACCUCGAUUGAACGAUGACGAGUUACUAUUUCGAUAAAGUUCGAAAUAACACCCUUUAAGGUCAAGGGACUUCGCCAAAAAGAGAAAAGUUCAACCUCGAUCGAACGAUGACGGGCUACUAUUUCGAUAAGUUCGAAAUAACACACUUUUAGGCCAAGGGACUUCGCCAAAAAGAGAAGAGUUUGACUUCGAUCGAACGAUGACGGGUUACUAUUUCGAUAAGUUCGAAAUAACACCCUUUAAGGCCAAGGGCCUUCUCUAACAAGAGGAGAGUUCGAUUUUGAUCGAACGAAGAUGGCCACUAUUUCGAUAAGUUUGAAAUAAAACCCUUUAAUGCCUAGGGCCUUCGCCAAAAAGAGAAUAGUUCGACCUCGAUCGAACGAUGACGGGUUACUAUUUUGAUAAGUUCAAAAUAACACUCUUUUAGGCCAAGGGCCUUCGCCAAAAAGAGAAGAGUUCGACCUCGAUUGAACGACGACGGGUUACUAUUUCGAUGAAGUUCGAAAUAAUACACUUUAAUGCCUAGGGCCUACGCCAAAAAGAGAAGAUUUCGACCUCGAACGAACAAUGAUGGGUUACUAUUUUGAUGUUUCGAAAUAACACACUUUUAGGACAAGGGCCUUUGCCAAAAAGAGAAGAUUUUGACCUCGCACGAACGACGACGGGUUACUAUUUCGAUAAAGUUCGAAAUAACACACUUUAAGGCUAAGGGCCUUCGCCAAAAAGAGAAGUGUUCAACCUCGAUUGAACGACGACGGGUUACUAUUUCGAUAAAGUUCGAAAUAAUACCCUUUAAUGCCUAGGGCCUUCGCCAAAA
rnacentral:lncRNA from 1 species